AUUGGAUAUUGAUGCAUUUUUGUGAAUAUUGAAGUUUGAACAUGAAAAAGUUGUGGCUCUUAAGAGCCUGUGUCGAUCACCUUGGUUUAUGUGCAUAUUAAACAAAGGACACACAUGGAUUCAUGACAAAACAGUGUUUUGGUGAUAGCGAUAUGUUUGUAGAUCUUACUUUACUGAACAUUCUUGCUUCUUACAAUUAUCUCAAUUUAUAUUGAACUUGGCCCAAUGUUUACAGAGGAAAACAUUUUGAUAAAAUUUACAAAAAAAAAAACUAUAAAAGAGGGACGAAAGAUACCAAAGGGAGAGUCAAACUCAUAAAUCGAAAACAACUGACAACG
rnacentral:lncRNA from 1 species